GACCGAUAGCGAACAAGUACCGUGAGGAGAAAGUUGAAAAGAACUUUGAAGAGAGAGUUCAAUAGUACGUGAAACCGUCCAGGGGUAAACCCGAGAAGCCCGAAAGUUCGAUGGGGGAGAUUCAACCGCGUCUCGGAGGACGCGGACAGCGGCGGGCCGGCGACGGAAGGUCCCUCGGGACCCGACGCGCCCGUCGUCCGUCCAGUUCCCGAACGCGUGCACUUCUCCCCCCGUAGGACGUCGCGACCCGUCGGUGGCGGGGUCUGAGGGGCCGCGGUGGAGCCCCGGCGGGACGAAUUUCGGGUCGUUCUCGUCGGACCCGCGUGUUCCCGAACCCGCCCCGCCCGACGGUAGACUAGAGGCGGGGGGCCGCGACCUUUUCAGGUAC
rnacentral:rRNA from 1 species